GAAUAUUAGUCAAUGAUCGAAAGAUUGAUCUAGUUACUUAGAAAGAUGAAGAUUAUAAAAAAAAUAAAAGAAAAUAAUAAUGAAGAAUAUAAAAUCAAUGUAUAUAUAAAAGAAUAAUGAUGAUUAUAUAUAUAAAAGUCUUAACCAAAAUUAGUGCCAGCAGUUGCGGCUAAACUAAGGAGGCGAACGUUAAUCAUUAAUGGCUUAAAGGAUCCGUAGAAUGAUAAAGUAAAAAAACGUAUUAGAGUUAAAUUAGAUAAUUAUGAAAAAUUAUAUUGAGAGAUGAAAUGUGUGGAAAAUAAUUAGACAAAUAAACGUGAAGAUAAAAUUAAAGAUUUAACUGACAUUGAGGGAUGAAGGCAUGAGUAGCAAAACGGAUUAGAUACCCGAGUAGUUCAUGCAGUAAACGAUGAAUACUUCGAAAAGAAAAGCGAAAGCUAAAGUAUUCCGCCAGGAGAGUAUAGCUUCAAAGUUGAAAUCCAAGACAAUAGACGGUUACAGUUGUAGGCAGUGGAUUGUGUUAUUUAAU
rnacentral:rRNA from 1 species